UCCACAACGCGAUCUCUAUAAAACUCCACAUCAUGUGCUUUUAUGUUGCAGAAUGUUCAAUUUACCAGAAAGAUCUCCUUGAGAUUGUUCAAUUUACAAUAUCUUGUAGCCGUUGAGUAACCAGAAAGAUCUUGCUGUGUGUGACUGGGAGAAAGCAAAGAAUUGGAGCGCUUUAUUAUAGAGUUUCUUUUUCUUUCUUGCUAUACAAAGCUGCAAACCCUAGUUCCAGAAAUUUUUUAUUUUGAAAUCCCUUUUAGUUGCGAAACAAAAUUCAAAGCAUUUUUUUUUUCUCUCCGGAUUCCCUUGGUUUUCCAACCGGAAAAACGCGCCGAUUGAAUCUCCCCAACGGCAAUCUCAGGGAAUUAAUCUUUUCUCCUCUAGAUCUCGGCCGCGAAAAUCUUCAUCGCCUAAGAAAAUAAUAAUGAAGGCUGUCUCUGCUUUCCUUAUGCUAGUAGCUGUGUUUUUCUGGUUACUUUUAUUCUCCCUUGCCCUAGCUGCUCGGCCUACCCCUGAUAUCAACGGAGUUAUGGACUUCAAUAGAAAAGUGGUGAAGCGUGGCCUACUUCCCAAGCCUCCCAAGCGUAAUAAAGGAAAGGAUCCGCAGCAUGAUUAAUCUAUACAGUGCUCUGAUUAAUUACAUGGUCAAAAUUUAGGGGUGGAGAAAUUUGAUCAAUUAAGGAUUAGUGGCCGCUUGAUGUUUGCUUCUGGAUUUUGUUGGUUGGGAUUCUUUUAUGGUCAUUGUUUUGUUAUCAGUUCUGGUCUUAUAAACUACUCUUCUAGAGUCAUUAAAAAUCUCCAUUCAUUCAUUCAUUCAUUCCAUUUUGAUAGUUAAUAAGCAUAAGUAUCUGCCGUGUUAUAGAUGUCUUCAUACCAUAAUCAUUUAGAAUGUUUUGUCAAAGUGUUUUUUUCCACUUAAUUAUUAAAAAUAUGUUGGAUUUUUGGAUUUUUU